UAGGGAAUCUCCACAAUGGACGAAAGUCUGAUGGAGCAACGCCGCGUGAGUGAAGAAGGGUUUCGGCUCGUAAAGCUCUGUUGGUAGUGAAGAAAGAUAGAGGUAGUAACUGGCCUUUAUUUGACGGUAAUUACUUAGAAAGUCACGGCUAACUACGUGCC
rnacentral:rRNA from 1 species